GAUGAACGCUAGCGGCAGGCCUAAUACAUGCAAGACGAACGGUAAGUUGAGUAGCAAUACUUAGCCAAGAGUGUCGUACGGGUGCGUAACACGUAUGCAACCUACCCUAUACAGGAGGAUAGCCUAGGGAAACCCGGAUUAACCCUUCAUAGUAUUAUUGGAUGGCAUCAUUUGAUAAUUAAAACUGAGGUGGUAUAGGAUGGGCAUGCGUCUGAUUAGUUAGUUGGCGGGGUAAUGGCCCACCAAGACGAUGAUCAGUAGGGGUUCUGAGAGGAAGAUCCCCCACACUGGCACUGAGAUACGGGCCAGACUCCUACGGGAGCAGCAGUAGGAAUAUUGGUCAAUGGAUGCAAGUCUGAACCAGCCAUGCCGCGUGCAGGAAGAAGGCCUUUCUGGGGUUGUAAAGGACUUUUUGUCAGGGAGCAAAAACUUAGAGGUUAAUAACCUUUGAGGUUGAGAGUACCUGAAGAAUAAGCACCGGCUAACUACGUGCCAGCAGCCGCGGUAAUC
rnacentral:rRNA from 1 species